rnacentral:rRNA from 1 species
UUUCGCAAUGCCCGAAAGGCUGACGACGCGACGCCGCGUGGAGGAUAAAGGCCCUCGGGUUGUAAACUCCUGUCGAACCGGGAAGAAAAGCCGUUGGAUAAUAUCCAUCGGUCUUGACGGUACCGGUGAAGGAAGGUCCGGCUAACUCCGUGCCAGCAGCCGCGGUAAUACGGAGGGACCUAGCGUUGUUCGGAAUCACUGGGCUUAAAGGGCGCGUAGGCGGCCGCGUAAGUCAGGUGUGAAAGCCCCCGGCCUAACCGGGGAAUUGCGCCUGAUACUGCGUCGCUUGAGGAUGAGAGGGGAGAGUGGAACUUCUGGUGGAGCGGUGAAAUGCGUAGAUAUCAGAAGGAACGCCGGAGGCGAAAGCGACUCUCUGGAUCAUUCCUGACGCUGAGGCGCGAAAGCUAGGGGAGCAAAAGGGAUUAGAUACCCCUGUAGUCCUAGCCGUAAACGAUGGGCACUAAGUAGAGGGGUUUU